GCUGGUGCUUCCAAACGUUUUCUCUUGUUUUGAAAGCUCAGAGAACCAGAGAAGACAAAAGGAGCAUGGUGUUUCCUACAGGCACGGCUGUCCACAAGCAGCCCACCCAGGUGGUGACAGUCAUCAGGACCAUUGAAAACUCUGGCCAAUGGAGCACCGACCUCUGUGAUUGCUGCUCUGAUAUGGAGAGCUGUUGCUGUGGCCUUUGCUGUUUCCCCUGCAUGCAGUGUGAUGCAGCCAAUAAACAUGGAUGGUGCUGUGCAGUGCCACUCCUGGACGUUUGUGGUGUGGUGUCCUGCUUACUCCGUCAGUCUAUCAGAGAGCGCCACAACAUCUAUGGCUCGUUCACUGAUGACUGCUGUAAGGUGUGCUUUUGUUACCCGUGUGUUUGGUGCCAGAUGCAUCGUGAGCUGAAGCUCAGGCAAUACCAUUAGCCCGCCACCUCGACUGUGAUCAGCACGCAAGUCGUCUGUGGAUAUGAUGCAAACGUUUUGGCUGUGUGAUGAGGGCUUAUGUCACUGCUGAACCAAAGUGCUUUAAAUCUGUUGUCAUAUAAUAUGUUGAACGCCUAUGUGACUUUUUCAGGCCAAUAAAAUCCUGUAAUUCUAUGCAA